GCAUGGCAUGUGGGGUCUUAGUUCCCUGACCAGGGAUUGAACCCGUGCCCCCUGCGUGGGAAGUGUGGAGUCUUAACCACUGGACUGCCAGGGAAGUCCCCCAAACUGAACAGUUUUAAUAUGCUUCAGUUUGUCUUUGAACGAGCGGACCAGAAGAAUGUAAGCUGAGGAAGCAGGGCAGUGAGGGACUGAAAGGAGCUGUGGGUUCGUGGCAGAGCUGUAAGAGGCCGUGUUUCAGAGGCUCAGAGCCCGGGGGCCCUUCAAAGGAUGACCGACCUGCCCCCGGUUUUCCCCACACCUCAGUGCUCUCCGCACAGCGUUGCCUAGCACUCUGCUUUUAUAUAUAUAAAUUUAUUUAUUUAUUUA